CGCCUGUUUAUCAAAAACAUCGCCUCUUGUAAAAAUAAAAUAAGAGGUCCCGCCUGCCCUGUGACUAAUAGUUUAACGGCCGCGGUAUUUUGACCGUGCAAAGGUAGCGCAAUCACUUGCCUUUUAAAUGAGGGCCUGUAUGAAUGGCACAACGAGGGCUUAACUGUCUCCUCCUCCUAGUCAAUGAAAUUGAUCUCUCCGUGCAGAAGCGGAGAUAAGAACAUAAGACGAGAAGACCCUGUGGAGCUUUAGAUCACAAGCAGACCAUGUCAAGGACAAUAAUAAAUGACUCAAACAAAUUGGCUACUGUUUUCGUGUCUUUGGUUGGGGCGACCGCGGGAUAAUAAAAAACUCCCACGAGGAUAGAGAAAACCUAUUCUUAUAACCAAGAGCUUCCUCUCUAAGUAACAGAACAUCUGACCUUUAUGAUCCGGCCUAGCCGAUCUACGGACCGAGUUACCCCAGGGAUAACAGCGCAAUCCUCUUUUAGAGUCCAUAUCGACAAGAGGGUUUACGACCUCGAUGUUGGAUCAGGACAUCCUAAUGGUGUAGCCGCUAUUAAGGGUUUGUUUGUUCAACAAUUAAAGUCCUACGUGAUCUGAGUUCAGACCGG
rnacentral:rRNA from 1 species